UACGGAGGGGGCUAGCGUUGUUCGGAAUUACUGGGCGUAAAGCGCACGUAGGUGGUUCAGUAAGUCGAGUGUGAAACCUCCAGGCUCAACCUGGAGACGCCACCCGAUACUGCUGUGACUAGAGUCCAGUAGGGGAGCACGGAAUUCCUGGUGUAGCGGUGAAAUGCGCAGAUAUCAGGAGGAACACCAGUGGCGAAGGCGGUGCUCUGGGCUGGAACUGACACUGAGGAGCGAAAGCGUGGGUAGCAAACAGG
rnacentral:rRNA from 1 species